rnacentral:lncRNA from 13 species
CUGACACCUAAAAGGCCAGUCUCACUCCCACCAUAUUCCCUCAACAGUACUGAGUCUCUUUCCAGCAGGACUGAGAAUUUACCCUGGGUUACAAGCCUCCCAGCUGAGAAAGCAAGCAGACUUGCAGUUCCACGGCUGUCUUAUGGAAACUGCGGUGGCAGUCCACAUCCCUCAAAGGGUCUGUGGAUUCUCUCAGCUUUCCUGAAUGUCCUAUGUGCUUCUGGUAUCAACAUUAUGCUGAACUCAUAUGAAAGAAACAAAAGGGUCCCCUUCAGGCAGCUUCAAGGAGGAGACUAGGGUGCCUAUGAAGAAACAGGAAUAUUUUAUAUGCUUGCCAUCUUCAAGCUGAAGUGGUUUGAAAGAAUGAAAAUCUUUUCAAAGCUUUUUUGUUUGCUUCUUUCUUUGUAAAUUCCAAUUGGUUUAAGUGUCUAGUCUUUGGAGAAGGAGAUGAGCCAUCUCAUGAAGGGAUGAAUUAAGACUCUAAAAUUUCUGCAAAGGAGCUGCAAGACCAAGGGAGGUAGCUAGAUCCUGAAUGUUAGAAACCUCGUCCUGCUGAGUUAAUGAUCUGAAAAUGGGACAAACACCUGCUUUAGAAGAGCAUCUGAGCAGGUGCAGCAAUCUUUCCUGGAGUGAAUAGUAACAAGAAAUUCCCUUCAAGGGGUCAGGUAUGAC